GAAGGAUUCAGCUAAUAGUUGGGGAGAGUGGUGGUUGUCAAGCUCAGAGUGAGGCAAGAGGCAGAUCCUGGACUUCUCCUCGGGGCCCUCCAAAGCUCAUGGGCCCUCAGGCCAGCCGAGGGACCAGACUGAGACCUCUGUCCUGCGGGGCUCCUGAGCCCUCGCCAGGGGCACCCACUGGCCAUAGCCCAGGCCUUGAGGCAGUGAACCUCUCCCUCAACCCUGUGUCUGCAGCUUAACGGCAGCGGCCUUCUACCUGGGAUGCAGUCUGAGGAACUUGCCCUUCCCCUCCCCCACCCCGUCGCUCCCUCCGCGUUGACGACGGCAGAGUCUGGGGAGCUUGGCCCUGAGGGGGCCGCCAGCUGACAUCUGCCUCCUCUUAGCCAGAACCUUGACCUCAAAGGGAAGAAGUUGUGCCCAGGAUCUUUGCCCUUCAGAGAAUAACACGGUUUGGUAGAGAUUUACAGGAAGAUCAUGAUCUGACCGUGACCUUGUUACUGAGCCCAAGCUCAUGCUGCUCGCCACAUGACAGAAACCCUGAUGCAUAAAGUCAUAAGGACCUGGAAGGACCCUGUGGAAAAAGUCUGCCACCUUAUUGACCAGGAUACAUGAAGGUAUUCCAGAGGAAAUAUGGACUGUCACUGCUCCAAGAAGGAUCCACUCAGGUCAACACUGAUUACUCAUGGAUAUCAAAGUAACAAAAAUUCAGUUGGAUCUGUGCUUCCCAUGGGAAGCAUUUCCAUAAACAUCUUCAAACUUAA